rfam:Oryza rufipogon genomic scaffold, chr05
UAUAAGGGGAUUUUAAGUUUUUUUUCUUGCAACGUUUGACCACUUGUCUUAUUUAAAUUUUUUUGAAAUUAUUAAUUAUUUUAUUUGUGACUUACUUUAUUAUCUAUAGUACUUUAAGCAUAACUUUUCGUUUUUUAUAUUUGUAAAAAAAAAUUAAAUAAGAUGAGUGGUCAAACGUUGCAAGCAAAAACUGAAAAUUCCUUAUAUU